ACAGCAGGGGCUCCCAGUAGGGGAUGGAGGCGAAAGGAGCGGGGCGCAGGGGACUCUGCCUUGCUGUGCUCUGUGCGGGCAUCGCACUUGCCCUCAAAGGAGAGGGUCUGGGGGACCACAACAUCACCCAGCACAGUGAUAUCUUGGAGGCGACGGGAGCCCCCACCACAGCCACCAGGGAUGUGACAAUGGGACCAGUGAGCUCCCCCAGCCCCUCUGGUACUGGGAACCCCAUCACCAUCACUGUGCCACUGCAAGCAGGUGCCCCAGGGAACCAAACCCGUGAGUCCCAUGGAGAGGAGAUGUGGCUUGGGGAUGCACCACUGCUCCGGAGGGUCCUGCAGCCCCCAGAGACCCUGGUGCACUGUUGUGGGCAGGGAGCCCUCAGCUCUUCUCUCUUCCCAUAGGAAAUGAAUCGGGUUUUCCCAUCAGGUACUGGUCCCCCGUCAUUUUCGUGGUCCUUGCUCUGCUCGUGCUCUUCUUCACCUACCGCAGGACCAAAGGCAAUGGUGAGCUGCUGUGCUGGGGCACCGGCACCACCGAGGCUCCAACAGGAAAGGGUGCUGGCAACCUCAAGCACCCAAGAGCACCACAAAAUACUGCAAAGCUUCACCACUCCUGGCAUGGCUGUACCUGCUCAGUUUGGCACCUUUUGGGCCACCCUGUGCCACCUUUGGCCUCAGCACAGAGCCAAGCAAACCCCAAACUUUCCCAGCUCAUCCCAGGAGGAGCUGCCUGGUUUCUCAGGUUUUUUUUUUCAGCCUCCUUAUUGUAACACGUGUCUGCCCUCUCCCACAGGGACACAAGAGCCAACCACCUCCAUCAGUGACUUUUCAGAUGUGGCCACCGCAGAAAACGACACAGCUCUGACUGUCCCUGAUGCCCAGAAGAGUGCAGACAAUCCUCCACCCCAGGAGCUGAGCAAGACCACCUCCUGCCAGCCAGCCCCCCCCUCAGAACAGUCUUCCCAGCAGCCCACAGACCCCAUCACUGGAGGCAGUCCCCUCUGCUCUGGGGUUCCAGUUGAUGACUGAGGGUGAAGCAGGGGAGCCAGCAGCUUUUGGACACCCUGAAGGAGCACGAGGCCACUCCAGAAAGACAAGCUGUGCCAACACACACCUGGGCAGGGGACAUCAUAAUGGAUGCUGAAGGACGUGAGCAUCACACACCACCUCAGACCUGCCUAUGGAUGCUCUGGUGCAUGGCCACCUCCCUGCAAAAUGGGGACCUGCGUGGGACACGUGUGCAUUUACUGCACCCAAGGAGAGGGCUUGGGGGGGAGUCACAACAGAGCCAAUAAAGCAGCCUUUUGCCC
rnacentral:lncRNA from 7 species